rnacentral:rRNA from 1 species
AUUGAACGCUGGCGGCAGGCCUAACACAUGCAAGUCGAGCGAGCGGCGGACGGGUGAGUAAUGUAUGGGGAUAGCCCCAUAGAGGGGGGAAAAAAAUGGAAACGGAGGCCAAAACCGCAAACUGUCGGAUAACCCAUAUGGGAUCAGCUAGUGGGUAGGGUAAUGGCUUACCUAGUCGAUGAUCCCUAGCUGGUCUGAGAGGAUGAUCAGCCACACUGGUGCGGAGACACGCCCCAGACUCCUACGGAGGCAGCGGUGGGGAAUCUUGCACAAUGGGCGCUAGCCUGGUGCAGCCAUGCCGCGUGUCUGAAACAUGCCCUCGGGUUGUAGAGUACUUUCAGUCUGGAGGCGUUACCGACCGAAGAAGCACCGGCUAACUCCGUGCCAGCAGCCGCGGUAAUAC